rnacentral:lncRNA from 1 species
ACCAGCCUGCGUCUCUGGAGUCUCCAGGUUCACUCCAGAUCGAAGGACAUACGUGAUCACCUGUAGCCCCGGGGCCCCGCGCAGCAGCCAGGCCGGCUCCGCGCAGCCCCCAUCCCUCGCUAGCUGUCGCCUCCAAGGACUCUGGCAGAUCUGGGAGGGCGGCGAUGUCACCAGAUGGCUGGGACCACAAGGCGACUCACUUGGCUGCGUCACGGCCCGCUGAAGCCGCUGUGCAGCAGAGGGAACCCGAGUCAGGUCCACAGGACUCUCGCCGCACGCCACACCCGCCCGCGUCCCCAGCUCCCCCCCCCCCCCCCCCCCCCCCCCCCCCCCCCCGCCUCAGCCCACCGAAGAGCAUACCCUAGAUUUUCCUCGAUUCUCUAUUUCCGGACUGGUAGCAAGCAGAGAAGAGAUGAGGAGGCCCCAACCGCGCCCCGAGGCCUUAAAUACUUAGGGGGGGCGGAGAGUCGGGAGGAGUCUGAAGGCCAGGGUGCGGCCGCUCCCGAGUAGGAAAAGGAAGAGAGUAAGGCCAGGUGAGUGCCGGCGGACCCACAAUCUAGCCUAUCCUCUGGCUCUUGGCCACUUUGCCUCAGAUUGGGCAGCUGAUCUUUCUGGUACUUUCUGGAUGCUUUGGCUACCUCCACUUAGCGAUGCCAGAAGUGUGCCAGCACUUAGUGGAUGGACAUACUUGUGACAAAGCAGAUCAUAAGUUUAAAGUGAGAAAGGAAGAAAAGACUUUUAACUACUGGGGCUGGAGGUAGAGAUCUUAUUCAGCAGGCACAGAAAAAUAAAGAAAGGUGGUCAAUGCCUGUGUCCCAGUGUAGCCUUCUCAGCUUUGGGUAGGCCUUUUCCAGCCUUGAAAAAGAUGAGCAGUAUUCCCAGCCUUCAGCAGGCUAAGCAGAUCUUAUCAACCUGGACACAGACAUCUGUCUUGGCUACAAUUGCAGGUACCCAUGGGAACUUUAAUGUUUUUGUGCUGACCUUGCUGCUACAACAUACUCAAGCUGAAGAAGUGGAUGGAUUUUGUGGUUUUUUUUUUUCCUUUAUAAAUGCAAAGCUUAUUAUUAAACUUUGAGCCUUGAUCAGAACCUUUGUCUUAGCUUCAUCCUUCUCUCGCCCCUUUGCCUUAUUUCUAGCCCCCCUUUGAGGUAAAACCAGUUCGACCAUGGCUGCUAGAUGGCUACAGAUGGACUUGAAAACUGGGGUGGGGGUGAAGGGGGGACUACUACUGAGAAGUGCUGUCUUGGGUGGAGCGCCACAGAAAACAGAAGAAAAGUGAAAGUAUCCAUGAAGCACUGUAAGCAACAUGCAGCAUUAAUACUAGCACUAGCCAUAAAUUUUAUUUUUUGAAACUGCUGCUGUAAAAAAAAGUGCUUUCAGGAGGAUACAGGCUAGGCUGAAGAGGUGUUGGCCCAACACGGGCUUCGCCUAAGGUGUAAUGGGGCAAGGGAAUUCUAAAUAGGCAGAAAAAUUCUUAGCUCAAGUACAUUUAUGUUGUCCUUAAUUCCCAGAAAUAGGAAUGGUAAAUAUAUAAAUGAAAGAAUUAGUCACAUUGAGGAGGAAUUGGGAAAGUUAGAAAAGCAGGGCUCUGGAGAACAACUAUCGGUAGCUACCACUGUGCCUCUUCUCCCUUCUCUGGCAGAAUUCCCAGAAGAAGGAGAUAAAGAGUUAGGCCUUGAACAUGAGAGAGAGAAAGAGAGAAUAGGUUUCAGAAACGGAGUUGUCCCCUGUCCGGGACAUUUUAGCACAAGAGAAGGAAAAUAGAUAUAAGAUAUUUCAGAGCUCUCCUAGGGUCAGGAAGAAAUUGGUCCUGCUUCCUCUCUGGCUCCUGCUGGAGAUAUACUUAGUUCUGGUUAGAAUAUCUGGGUCCCUUUGAGACAUCAAGUUCUAGUUCCUCUCUGUUUAUCGUCUGUCCUUGGUACACCAUUUAUCCAUAUGUCUGUCUAUUUAUGUUUGUUUUUGUUUUGUUGUUUGAAUGAUUGUUGUUCUGUGUUUCAUGUUGGGGAAAAAAAAAAGGUUAAAACUUUAUCUGCUGGCUGUCCAUCCUUUGAUUUAGUUAAACUUGUUUAAAAGGCAGUCUCAAUUUGCAUAGCAGAAACUGGUAAGCUACACUGCACUGUUCCUGGGAGUCAAGCACAGCUGGAAAAGCCCUACUAGAGGCUGAUUAUCUACACAAGUCACACUCUUAAAGGGACCAACAGCUUUUUGCUUGUAACAGAAAGUCAGCUUAAAAUUGGUAACUCAGGGUUGGAGUCAUUCUAAAUUACACCUGGCAUGAACCAACCCAGGAAAACAGAUCUUUAAAGAUACUUCUAAAUUGGGAUAAUAUUUUAUGUAAUUCUUAUCCUAGAAACUAGAUUUACAGAGGAUAGUAUUUAAGACAAUGUCUCUUUAAUAUGUAUUAAAAGUUGCAAUGUCAUGCAUUCAUAUAUAAGAACUGGCAGCCAAACUUUGUACGUGAAAGUAAUGCUCUUGGUAUUGACUUUAAAGAGAAUGGUGGUUUAAAACUAGGUUUUGUUUUUCAAAAUUAUGGGCAUGCUCUAAUAUUACAAAAGAAAUUUAAAAAUAUAGUUAAACUGCCAAUGUUCCAUUAGCUGCAGUUUACAAUUCAAUCACAAGCUCAAGAUGUUAACUCAUCCAUAAUUGUAAUUAAGAAAAAAAUCAAGCAAGUGGAGAAGAAUGUAUCUAAAGGAUAUUAU